rnacentral:lncRNA from 1 species
AUAUCAUUAGGCUGAACACAGAAAUUUUCCAGCAGACUGUUUUUCAAAGUCAUAUAUGGCUGGUCACGAAUGGAUUAAAAAAUCAGCAAUCUGGAUUUGUUUGCUUUUGAAAAAUGGAUUUUGGUAAAUCUAUACUAUAAAUAGCAGAGACAAUGGACUAUCUUUAUGUGUCUACACAAAUUAUUUGGAUACUUCUAGACAUGCUAGGAACUUGAAUUUUGCAUGGAUGGACUGAUCCCAAACUCCUUAGAAAAUUAUGAAAUUACUCCUAUGAAUGGGACAUUUUUAGUUGAAAGGAAGAAUACCACAUAUAAGUCCUUCAGAAUUUUGUUUGAAUUUGGGAUGACAUCACAGUCAUACCUAUGACAUCAUUUGACAUAACAAUAAAUGAUACAACAAAAUGUUUGUUGUGUGUAACAUCACAAUGAUGAUGAUAAAUGACACUGAGAUUGCCUGGGGAGUAUUCUGGAAUAGCAGCAAAAAUGUGUUCAUUCAAAUCCUUCCAUGUCAUGUCCAAAUUUGGAAUGAUGUCAGGAUGAUGCAGCAAUGGAAUAACAUCACUAAAAUAUCAUUACUGCAGGCACUUGAUAUCAUUCUGAUCAGCCAAAUGAUUCAAAACACUAUAAUAAAUGAAUUUCUAUUACAAGAUCCAAUGAUGUCAUCACGUCAUAAAUCAAGUGGUUAUAAGUCAAUAACAUUGUAAGUUGAGGACUACCU